AUUGAACGCUGGCGGCAGGCCUAACACAUGCAAGUCGAGCGGAUGAAGGGAGCUUGCUCCUGGAUUCAGCGGCGGACGGGUGAGUAAUGCCUAGGAAUCUGCCUGGUAGUGGGGGAUAACGUCCGGAAACGGGCGCUAAUACCGCAUACGUCCUGAGGGAGAAAGUGGGGGAUCUUCGGACCUCACGCUAUCAGAUGAGCCUAGGUCGGAUUAGCUAGUUGGUGGGGUAAAGGCCUACCAAGGCGACGAUCCGUAACUGGUCUGAGAGGAUGAUCAGUCACACUGGAACUGGGACACGGUCCAGACUCCUACGGGAGGCAGCAGUCGGGAAUAUUGGACAAUGGGCGAAAGCCUGGUCCAGCCAUGCCGCGUGUGUGAAGAAGGUCUUCGGAUUGUAAAGCACUUUAAGUUGGGAGGAAGGGCAGUAAGUUAAUACCUUGCUGUUUUGACGUUACCAACAGAAUAAGCACCGGCUAACUUCGUG
rnacentral:rRNA from 1 species